rnacentral:rRNA from 1 species
CGGGGUGCACCAGGCGCGAAAACUUUACAAUGCUGGCAACAGCGAUAAGGGGACCUCGAGUGCCAGGAUACAAUCUUGGCUGUCGCGAUGCCUAAAAAGCAUUGCAUAGCAAGGGCCGGGCAAGACCGGUGCCAGCCGCCGCGGUAACACCGGCGGCUCGAGUGGUAACCGCUAUUAUUGGGUCUAAAGGGUCUGUAGCCGGCCGGAUAAGUCUUUUGGGAAAUCCAGCUGCUCAACAGUUGGGCUUUCAGAAGAUACUGUUCGGCUCGAGACCGGGAGAGGUGAGAGGUACUUCAGGGGUAGGGGUGAAAUCUUGUAAUCCUUGAAGGACCACCAGUGGCGAAGGCGUCUCACCAGAACGGAUCUGACGGCAAGGGACGAAAGCUAGGGGCACGAACCGGAUUAGAUACCCGGGUAGUCCUAGCCGUAAACGAUACUCGCUAGGUGUCAGCCACGGUGCGACCGUGGUUGGUGCCGUAGGGAAGCCGUGAAGCGAGCCACCUGGGAAGUACGGCCGCAAGGCUGAAACUUAAAGGAAUUGGCGGGGGAGCACAAGGGCGAUUCGCG